GAUGAACGCUAGCGGCAGGCCUAAUACAUGCAAGUCGAGGGAGAAUGUUGGAUUCGUCUGACAUGAAACCGGCGCACGGGUGCGUAACACGUAUGCAACCUACCUUUAACUGGGGUAUAGCUCAGAGAAAUCUGAAUUAAUCCCCCAUAAGACUACGACAUGGCAUCAUGAUGUAGUUAAAGCUCCGGCGGUUAAGGAUGGGCAUGCGGUACAUUAGCUAGUUGGUGAGGUAAUGGCUCACCAAGGCUACGAUGUAUAGGGGGUCUGAGAGGAUGAUACCCCACACUGGUAAUGAGACACGGACCAAACUCCUACGGGAGGCAGCAGUAGGGAAUAUUGGUCAAUGGACGCAAGUCUGAACCAGCCAUGCCGCGUGAAGGAUGAAGGCCCUAUGGGUCGUAAACUUCUUUUAUUAGGGAAGAAAAAACGGGAUGCGUCCUGUACUGACGGUACUUAAUGAAUAAGGAUCGGCUAACUUCGUGCCAGCAGCCGCCGUAA
rnacentral:rRNA from 1 species